UACAGAGGUGGCAAGCGUUGUUCGGAAUUACUGGGCAUAAAGGGCGCGUAGGCGGCCUUCUAAGUCGGACGUGAAAGCCCCAGGCUUAACCUGGGAACUGCGUCCGAUACUGGGAGGCUUGGAUUCGGGAGAGGGAUGUGGAAUUCCAGGUGUAGCGGUGAAAUGCGUAGAUAUCUGGAGGAACACCGGUGGCGAAGGCGGCAUCCUGGACCGAGAUCGACGCUGAGGCGCGAAAGCUAGGGAGCAACGGG
rnacentral:rRNA from 1 species